UUUAUUGAAAAAACACUGUAAAAGGUAUUUCAUUUUACAGUUUUUUGUUCAAACUUGCUCUAUUUUUUUAAUUUUUUUUUCUCAUAAUUGUGGUAAAAAAGCAAAAAAAAAAAUUAACACUGUGUACCGGACGUUAGUCCGGUAUAUUUGCACCGGACCGCCCCCCAAUUAGCCCAUGAAUCUAUCACAAACAAACAUAAACAUGUUCUCUUUACAUAAAUUUCAUAAAACUUAAUGACCAUAUAUAAAAAUCAAAUGAUCAAAGUUUUAGAAAUAUAGCUAAUCAACUAGUAGCUUUUUUUUUCUCCUUGCACGAUUACACUUUUCUUCCACCUUUUCUCCUUUGCAUACUCAACUCAGUCCUCUCUCUUCCUCGCCUUGUGGCUGCUGUGAG
rnacentral:lncRNA from 1 species